AACAGUGUAUCUUCUAAUCUGAACUUUCGAAGAUGCAACGAUCUACUAGUGCAUUCAGGAAGGAGAAAGUAGAAACAACCGAAUAAACAGCAACAUAAAUCACCUAGACAUGUAUAUAUUUAUACAAGAAUUGUACUACAGCAAUCACAAUCCAUCUGCUUCACCUGCAAAUCACUCACUCGAAUCACAGCCACAGCAGGGGGGGUACAGUAGCUAGCUCACCACGGUUAACGGUAUAGUUAACACAACAGAGCCAAGAAGAAUCACACCAAGCUAAGCAUUUAUUUGUCGAUGAACAACAAUUCUUUAACGAACCCAGGAAUCGAUAUGUCUUGAAAUCUAUCAGUCAUCCUUCUUGCAGCAGCAGCAGAAGCACUCGAGGCAGUGCUCACAGGUUUCGUAGCAACAGAAGCAGCAGCACAGCAUGAACAGGCUACCAAAAAAACAAACAUGAAAAACCAGAUUAAUAGCAGCUAAUUAACCUUACACGAUGCGUCAUGCAGGUAUGCAGAGUGCAACACCUCAGAAGUUCAGAGUUCAGGGCUAGUCUGAUAUUGGUACUGAAGCUACUGCAUAUGCAGCAAGAAACAAGCAGUAUGGUCAUGCGGCAUCAAACAGUUUUUAAUACAGAGGUAAAACGGUGGAUAUCUAUCUGUAUAUUUACAUGUCAUCUAGAUAAUUAUCAAAAAGAACAUAAAAAAGUUGAUAGAUAGAUUAAUACGAGUUAUAUCACUCUAUAAACAUGUAAGAUUAAAUUAAACUUCUACAAGUUAUAGAAAAAAAUUAAACUGAAACUAAGCAUACGUAUAUUCAUAAUUAUUUUUGUUACGUAGAUGUUGAAUUUAAAUUUACAUGUUUGUGAAAUGAUAAUAAAUCAUAUUAAUAUAUCUUAUCAAUUUUUUUAUAUUUUUUAUAACUAUUUAAAUGAUACGGAGACAACCGGUGGACAUCCCGUGUGCCUUGUGCAUGCAGAUGCAGUGUUGUGUUCUGUACAAACCAGGCAUAGAGGAAGCCCUUCUCCUCAUGGCGCUUCUUGACAUGCUCCAUGGCCGACAGCUUCUGGUCACCGCCGCUCUGAGAUGGCUCGUCCAUCGUCGUCGACUCGAUGCUUGAUUCUUCAGUUCGCAGCCAAGAGCGAGGAGGAUUUACGAACUGAUGCUGCAAAUUAGAGAGGGGAGAGGUGAGGAGCAAUGGUGUGGCUUGUUCUUGCUCCAGUGUUCCAGUGUGAUAUUUAAGGAGAAGGGGAGAGAGUCUGGCUAGGCCAGAGCUUUAACUAAUC
rnacentral:lncRNA from 1 species